rnacentral:rRNA from 1 species
UACGUAGGGGCAAGCGUUGUUCGGAAUUACUGGGCGUAAAGGGCGCGUAGGCGGCAGGCCAAGUCGGGAGUGAAAGCCCGGGGCUCAACCCCGGAAUGUCUUUCGAAACUGGCCAGCUGGAGUGCGGAAGAGGCAACUGGAAUUCCCAGUGUAGCGGUGAAAUGCGUAGAUAUUGGGAAGAACACCGGUGGCGAAGGCGGAUCUCUGGGCCUUACCUGACGCCCAGGCGCGAAAGCUAGGGAGCGAACAGG